rnacentral:rRNA from 1 species
UCCUACGGGAGGCAGCAGUGGGGAAUAUUGCACAAUGGGGGAAACCCUGAUGCAGCGACGCCGCGUGAGUGAGGAAGUAUUUCGGUAUGUAAAGCUCUAUCAGCAGGGAAGAAAAUGACGGUACCUGACUAAGAAGCCCCGGCUAACUACGUGCCAGCAGCCGCGGUAAUACGUAGGGGGCAAGCGUUAUCCGGAUUUACUGGGUGUAAAGGGUGCGUAGGCGGUCGGAUAAGUUAGAGGUGAAAUCCCGAGGCUCAACUUCGGAAUUGCCUCUGAUACUGUUCGGCUAGAGAGUAGUUGCGGUA